GUUGCUGCUGUCAGGUGGAAGCUAUGAUGGCUCAAAGUCUGAUGUCUAGUCUGCCGGCCAAGUCGCAGCAACUAUGACUCUAAAAUUGCCUUAUCCGACACAGUGAUCACCAAAAAGGCAAAUAUAGUGUCGUGAGUGAUCUCAGCGAAAAGACACGGAACUCAAGUGGAAAAUGAUUCAUUUCAAAUAAGAUGAAUGCAGGUUGCAUCCUUUGAUUUCACUCUAUUUCUGUGUUGAUAAUUUAUGCAACAAUUCAAAGGAGUGUUGUCCUGACUGCUGUUUGGUGAAAUAAACAUUUGAUGACUAAAAGUUUCUAAAGAAAUUGUAACACUUUAAUGCAAUAAACUUCACAUUCCCAUGGGAUUCUUCGGCAAAACUCCUCACAUGGCUUACAGUCUCUGAAACACACAUUAGAUUAAGUGUGAUCAAAGUGCAAAACAAGCAACACAGAGGGCUCACCUGUCAAAUGAAAUCCUUCAUUUUACCAAACUAACCACCAGCGAUUGGAAUUCCUUGAUCGGGACCAGCUGCCGAGCAACCAGCAGAAACUCCAGGAAGAUACUGGUCCUCGCCAAGAAUUAUUCCGGCACAUAUGUUAAUGGUAAAUUGUUGUGUUUACAUUUUGGUUUGUGUAUAAAAUAUGCACUACGUCUUGUAUUCUAAAACUAGAUGGGUUUUUUUUACAUAUUUAAGAGGUCUGGCAAAACAGAGGUCACUAUAACAACAGAUAUAACAGUGACUGUAUUCUGUUUGGUCAAACACAUAUAACAGAGUACAUGAAAAUAAAGUUUGACAACGGUGAUCAAAAACAAUAACCGUCAAGUAUAUUUGUUCUCAUUGUUUUAGAGUUUGUUAUAUAUACUUGUAAAAUUAGUUUGUGUUUUCAGUGCUGGCUCAUUUAGAUGAUCCCUAAAACUAAGUAAAUAGGACAGUGUGUUAUAGAACAAUCAAACAAAUCCAGAUUCACACUAUUGUUCUACCAGUCAAUUGGUAAACCUUAACAUGGCAGAUUGUACAAUGCAUUAU
rnacentral:lncRNA from 15 species